rnacentral:rRNA from 1 species
GCCAGACUCCUACGGGAGGCAGCAGUAGGGAAUCUUUCACAAUGGGCGAAAGCCUGAUGGAGCAACGCCGCGUGAUCGAAUGAAGGCCUUCGGGUUGUAAAGAUCUGUUGAUAGGGACGAAUAAGCAAUGCGAAUAGUUUUGUGUAUGACGGUACCUGUUUAGAAAGCCCCGGCUAACUACGUGCCAGCAGCCGCGGUAAUACGUAGGGGGCAAGCGCUAUCCGGAUUUACUGGGUGUAAAGGGAGCGUAGACGGUCCUGCAAGCCAGAUGUGAAAGCCCGGGGCUCAACCCCGGGACUGCAUUUGGAACUGUAAGGCUAGAGUGUCGGAGAGGCAGGCGGAAUUCCUAGUGUAGCGGUGAAAUGCGUAGAUAUUAGGAGGAACACCAGUGGCGAAGGCGGCCUACUGGGCUUUAACUGACGCUGAGGCACGAAAGCGUGGGGAGCAAACAGGAUUAGAUACCCGGACU